ACGAACGCUGGCGGCACGCUUAACACAUGCAAGUCGAACGAGAGAAGAGAAGCUUGCUUUUCUGAUCUAGUGGCGGACGGGUGAGUAACACGUGAGCAAUCUGCCUUUCAGAGGGGGAUACCGAUUGGAAACGAUCGUUAAUACCGCAUAACAUAAUUGAACCGCAUGAUUUGAUUAUCAAAGAUUUAUCGCUGAAAGAUGAGCUCGCGUCUGAUUAGCUAGUUGGUAAGGUAACGGCUUACCAAGGCGACGAUCAGUAGCCGGACUGAGAGGUUGAUCGGCCACAUUGGGACUGAGACACGGCCCAGACUCCUACGGGAGGCAGCAGUGGGGAAUAUUGCACAAUGGAGGAAACUCUGAUGCAGCGAUGCCGCGUGAGGGAAGAAGGUUUUAGGAUUGUAAACCUCUGUCUUCGGGGACGAAAAAAGACGGUACCUGAGGAGGAAGCUCCGGCUAACUACGUGCCAGCAGCCGCGGUAAUACGUAGGGAGCGAGCGUUGUCCGGAAUUACUGGGUGUAAAGGGAGCGUAGGCGGGAUCGCAAGUCAGAUGUGAAAACUAUGGGCUUAACCCAUAAACUGCAUUUGAAACUGUGGUUCUUGAGUGAAGUAGAGGUAAGCGGAAUUCCUAGUGUAGCGGUGAAAUGCGUAGAUAUUAGGAGGAACAUCAGUGGCGAAGGCGGCUUACUGGGCUUUAACUGACGCUGAGGCUCGAAAGCGUGGGGAGCAAACAGGAUUAGAUACCCUGGUAGUCCACGCCGUAAACGAUGAUUACUAGGUGUGGGGGGACUGACCCCUUCCGUGCCGCAGCAAACGCAAUAAGUAAUCCACCUGGGGAGUACGACCGCAAGGUUGAAACUCAAAGGAAUUGACGGGGGCCCGCACAAGCGGAGGAACAUGUGGUUUAAUUCGAUGAUACGCGAGGAACCUUACCCGGGCUUGAAAGUUAGCGACGAUUCUUGAAAGAGGAUUUCCCUUCGGGGCGCGAAACUAGGUGCUGCAUGGUUGUCGUCAGCUCGUGUCGUGAGAUGUUGGGUUAAGUCCCGCAACGAGCGCAACCCUUACUGUUAGUUGCUACGCAAGAGCACUCUAGCAGGACUGCCGUUGACAAAACGGAGGAAGGUGGGGAUGACGUCAAAUCAUCAUGCCCCUUAUGACCUGGGCCUCACACGUACUACAAUGGCUGUCAACAGAGGGAUGCAAAGCCGCGAGGUGGAGCGAACCCCUAAAAGCAGUCUUAGUUCGGAUUGUAGGCUGCAACCCGCCUACAUGAAGUCGGAAUUGCUAGUAAUCGCAGAUCAGCAUGCUGCGGUGAAUACGUUCCCGGGCCUUGUACACACCGCCCGUCACGCCAUGGGAGUCGGUAACACCCGAAGCCUGUAGUCUAACCGCAAGGAGGACGCAGUCGAAGGUGGGAUUGAUGACUGGGGUG
rnacentral:rRNA from 1 species